CUACGGGGGGCAGCAGUGGGGAAUAUUGCGCAAUGGGGUCACCCCUGACGCAGCAAUACCGCGUGAGCGAUGAAGGCCUUUGGGUCGUAAAGCUCUGUUAGGUGGGAAGAAGUGUAGUGUGAUUAAUAGUCACAUUAUUUGACGGUACCACCAGAGGAAGCCCCGGCUAACUCCGUGCCAGCAGCCGCGGUAAUACGGAGGGGGCGAGCGUUGUUCGGAAUUACUGGGCGUAAAGGGCGUGUAGGCGGCCUGUUAAGUUAGGUGCGAAAGACCAUGGCUCAACCAUGGAAUUGUGCUUAAAACUGGCAGGCUUGAGUAUAGGAGAGGGGAGUGGAAUUCCCAGUGUAGCGGUGAAAUGCUUAGAUAUUGGGAGGAACACCGGUGGCGAAGGCGGCUCUCUGGACUAAUACUGACGCUGAGGCGCGAAAGCCAGGGGAGCGAACGGGAUUAGAUACCCUCGUAGUC
rnacentral:rRNA from 1 species